UCAAAGGUUGCAAGUACACAUCUAUUCCAUUUUUUGGAUUACGCGGGCCAGGAAUAACACAAUUCAGAAAUAUAUAGAGACUAGUUAUCAAUAUUUUAGGAGGAAGAUUAUAAGGAGUGAUAAAUACAGGCCAACAUGAAUAUGGCGCACCACCAACUGAAAAGGGAGAGAACCCAUCCGCACAUAAUCCCAAUCAAAUGUUUCGUGGAUCAGCUGGAAAAUCUGGAUAAGUUGCAUUAAAAUACUUCCAAGCCUCUCCAUCAGAUGGAUGACACAUAACACCAGGGGCCCUUCAAUUUUCACUAUGCCAUCUCAUAUGAGGAGCUGAGAUGUAGGAAGUAUACAAC
rnacentral:lncRNA from 1 species